rnacentral:rRNA from 1 species
CCUACGGGUGGCAGCAGUGGGGAAUAUUGGACAAUGGGCGAAAGCCUGAUCCAGCCAUGCCGCGUGUGUGAAGCAGGCCUUCGGGUUGUAAAGCACUUUCAGUGGGGAAGACAGCCUUGGGGCUAAUACCCUCGAGGAAGGACAUCACCCACAGAAGAAGCACCGGCUAACUCCGUGCCAGCAGCCGCGGUAAUACGGAGGGUGCGAGCGUUAAUCGGAAUUACUGGGCGUAAAGCGCGCGUAGGCGGUCUGAUAAGCCGGUUGUGAAAGCCCCGGGCUCAACCUGGGAACGGCAUCCGGAACUGUCAGGCUAGAGUGCAGGAGAGGAAGGUAGAAUUCCCGGUGUAGCGGUGAAAUGCGUAGAGAUCGGGAGGAAUACCAGUGGCGAAGGCGGCCUUCUGGACUGACACUGACGCUGAGGUGCGAAAGCGUGGGUAGCAAACAGGAUUAGAUACCCCAGUAGUC